rnacentral:lncRNA from 1 species
CAUGUGCAAUCUCUAGUGAGAAUUUUGAUUUCUUUAAAAAACCCAGGUAUGUUAUGUGAAUAUUUCUGUUUUAAUCCCAGGUAUGGGAUAUGAGGCUGCAUCAGAUUGUCCACAGUCACUAAGUAUGUCUUAUGCUCUGUGAGGGGCAGGAUUUUUGCCAGCUGCAGAUAGUUUAUGUUUGGAAUUCUGAGGCCCUGGAGACUGUAUUAAUGGCAAUGCUCCAAGAAGGACCCAGGACCCUCUGGAGAAGGAGGCUGCUUCUCCUCCUGAUGCUGCUGUUUCCUGGAGCUGCAGUUUGUCACAUAGUCAUGAGCAGAGACAAGAGGAUAAAGUUGGAUAUCCUGAUGAUGAAGAUUGGACUUUCCCCAAGGAACUCAAUGCCCCUAAUCAGCAGAAAGUAAUCUAAAGACAUCUAUACCCCCUUUCCUUUAUAGCCUUCUUUCUCUCCUACCUACUGUUGGGGGUGGGUUGGGUUGGAAGGAAUCAGUGUGGAAUAAGUGUUGGGAGGGUGGAAUAAAUCAGACCCAAAAUAGCACCCACAGCAAUCACUCCUGGUUACACAGACACACUGGCUACACAUGUGUACAGUAGCAGGACAAUUUUGUGGUGUGGUACAGAACUGAAGAGAAUGGGUGUGGCAUAGAAUGAAAGAGAAGUGAGAAGGUGGACUCCCAAGGUACUGUGGUCAUGAGGCCUGACUCCCAACCUCUCCUGGGGCUGGAAAGAGGGAAGGCAGCUACACUAUGAAAAUGUAUAUUAGGAUUUAGGUGCAUGUAGGGCUGAGCAACUAGCUUGGUAGAGAUCAGCUGUGAUUAUGGAGAGUCAGGGAGGUUGGCGGCAUUCUCAGGAGCAUGGGAAGGAGGAGAAAAAAGUGGAGACAUAGGUUAGAGUUCUGAAGGGGACACCAGAGCUCAGUUAUCAGAGGGUUAUGGCUGAAGAAUACACUUCUGUGUCUAUAACUGCUGGUUGGAGAUGAUCUGUGGCUAUUCUUGGAGCUGGCAUCCAGGUACCUUGCCU